rnacentral:rRNA from 1 species
GCUUGAGAACCCUUCAAAACUCGCGAUCAGUGUCGUCCGAGUGGUCUCGAAUAACUAAAACUUUCAACAACGGAUCUCUUGGUUCUGGCAUCGAUGAAGAACGCAGCGAAA